ensembl:misc_RNA Metazoa_SRP Metazoan signal recognition particle RNA
GCUGGGCGUGGUGGUGCAUGCCUGUAAUCCCAGCUACUCAGGAGGCUGAGGCAGGAGAAUUGCUUGAACCCUGGAGGCUGAGGUUGCAGUGAGCUGAGAUUGUGACACUGCACUCCAGCCUAGGUGACAGAGUGAGACUCUGUCUCAA